GAUGAGCAUGCGUCCCAUUAGCUUGUUGGUAAGGUAACGGCUUACCAAGGCAACGAUGGGUAGGGGUCCUGAGAGGGAGAUCCCCCACACUGGUACUGAGACACGGACCAGACUCCUACGGGAGGCAGCAGUGAGGAAUAUUGGUCAAUGGGCGCAAGCCUGAACCAGCCAUGCCGCGUGCAGGAUGAAGCAUCUAUGGUGUGUAAACUGCUUUUGUACGAGAAGAAACACUCCUUCGUGAAGGAGCUUGACGGUAUCGUAAGAAUAAGGACCGGCUAACUCCGUGCCAGCAGCCGCGGUAAUACGGAGGGUCCAAGCGUUAUCCGGAAUCAUUGGGUUUAAAGGGUCCGUAGGCGGUUUUGUAAGUCAGUGGUGAAAGCCCAUCGCUCAACGGUGGAACGGCCAUUGAUACUGCAAGACUUGAAUUAUUGGGAAGUAACUA
rnacentral:rRNA from 1 species